rnacentral:rRNA from 1 species
GAUGAACGCUGGCGGCGUGCCUAAUACAUGCAAGUCGAGCGAAAGGACGCGAAGCUUGCUUCUCUGAUGUUAGCCGCGGACGGGUGAGUAACACGUGGAUAACCUACCUAUCAGUCUGGUAUAACUUCGAGACACCGGCGAUAAUCGCGGAUAAUAUUAUGAACCGCAUGGUUCAAAAGUGAAAGACGGUCUUGCUGUCACUUAUAGAUGGAUCUGGGCUGCGUUAGCUAGUUGUUAAGGUAACGGCGUAUCAAGGCAACGAUGCAUAGCCGACGUGAGAGAGUGAUCGGCCACACUGGAACUGAGACACGGUCCAGACUACUACGGGAGGCAGCAGUAUGGAAUCGUCCGCAAUGGGCGAAAGCCUGACGGAGCAGCGCGGCGUGAGUGAUGAAGGUCUUCGGAUCGUAAAACUCGGUUAUGAGGGAAGAACAUAUUUGUAAGUAACUGUGCACAUCGUGACGGUACCGAAUCAGAAAGCCACGGCUAACUACGUG